AACGCAUAUUGCGCUCUUUGGUAUUCCGAAGAGCAUGCUUGUUUGAGUAUCAGUAAACACCUCAAAGCCUUCAAUUCAGUUUGGAAGCUUUGGACUUGAGCAAUCCCAACACUAGUCUCGCGACUGGCGGAGGGUUGCUUGAAAUGCAGGUGCAGCUGGACAUUCUCCUGAGCUAUAAGCAUAUUUAUUUAGUCCCGUCAAACGGAUUAUUACUUUUGCUGCAGCUAACAUAAAGGGAGUUUGACCGCAUUGGCUGACUGAUGCAGGAUUUCACAAGGGCUGGCAACAGCUUUCUUGUAAAACUCGAUCUCAAAUCAAGUAAGACUACCCGCUGAACUUAA
rnacentral:misc_RNA from 1 species